rnacentral:rRNA from 1 species
UACGUAGGGGGCAAGCGUUGUCCGGAUUUAUUGGGCGUAAAGAGCGUGUAGGCGGCCAGGUAGGUCUGCUGUGAAAACUCGAGGCUCAACCUCGAGACGUCGGCGGAAACCAUCUGGCUAGAGUCCGGAAGAGGAGAGUGGAAUUCCUGGUGUAGCGGUGAAAUGCGCAGAUAUCAGGAGGAACACCGAUGGCGAAGGCGGCAUUCUGGACCAUAACUGACACUGAGAGACGAAAGCCAGGGGAGCAAACGGG